CCUACGGGCGGCUGUAGUGGGGAAUAUUGGACAAUGGGCGAAAGCCUGAUCCAGCCAUGCCGCGUGUGUGAAGAAGGCCUUCGGGUUGUAAAGCACUUUCAGUGGGGAAGAAAGCCUUGGGGCUAAUACCCUCGAGGAAGGACAUCACCCACAGAAGAAGCACCGGCUAACUCCGUGCCAGCAGCCGCGGUAAUACGGAGGGUGCGAGCGUUAAUCGGAAUUACUGGGCGUAAAGCGCGCGUAGGCGGUCUGAUAAGCCGGUUGUGAAAGCCCCGGGCUCAACCUGGGAACGGCAUCCGGAACUGUCAGGCUAGAGUGCAGGAGAGGAAGGUAGAAUUCCCGGUGUAGCGGUGAAAUGCGUAGAGAUCGGGAGGAAUACCAGUGGCGAAGGCGGCCUUCUGGACUGACACUGACGCUGAGGUGCGAAAGCGUGGGUAGCAAACAGGAUUAGAUACCCUAGUAGUC
rnacentral:rRNA from 1 species